AGUGAACGCUGGCGGUAGGCCUAACACAUGCAAGUCGAACGGCAGUACAGGAGAGCUUGCUCUCUGGGUGGCGAGUGGCGGACGGGUGAGGAAUACAUCGGAAUCUACUCUGCCGUGGGGGAUAACGUAGGGAAACUUACGCUAAUACCGCAUACGACCUACGGGUGAAAGCAGGGGACCUUCGGGCCUUGCGCGAUUGAAUGAGCCGAUGUCGGAUUAGCUAGUUGGCGGGGUAAAGGCACACCAAGGCGACGAUCGGUAGCUGGUUUGAGAGGAUGAUCAGCCACACUGGAACUGAGACACGGUCCAGACUCCUACGGGAGGCAGCAGUGGGGAAUAUUGGACAAUGGGCGCAAGCCUGAUCCAGCCAUACCGCGUGGGUGAAGAAGGCCUUCGGGUUGUAAAGCCCUUUUGUUGGGAAAGAAAUCCAGCUGGCUAAUACCCGGUUGGGAUGACGGUACCCAAAGAAUAAGCACCGGCUAACUUCGUGCCAGCCGCCGCGGUAA
rnacentral:rRNA from 1 species